CUACGGGGGGCACCAGUGGGGAAUUUUGGACAAUGGGGGCAACCCUGAUCCAGCAAUGCCGCGUGAGUGAAGAAGGCCUUCGGGUUGUAAAGCUCUUUUGUCAGGGAAGAAACAGCAGCUCUAACACAGUUUGCGAAUGACGGUACCUGAAGAAUAAGCACCGGCUAACUACGUGCCAGCAGCCGCGGUAAUACGUAGGGUGCAAGCGUUAAUCGGAAUUACUGGGCGUAAAGCGUGCGCAGGCGGUUAUGUAAGACAGGCGUGAAAUCCCCGGGCUUAACCUGGGAAUUGCGCUUGUGACUGCAUAGCCAGAGUAUGUCAGAGGGGGGUAGAAUUCCACGUGUAGCAGUGAAAUGCGUAGAGAUGUGGAGGAAUACCAAUGGCGAAGGCAGCCCCCUGGGAUAAUACUGACGCUCAUGCACGAAAGCGUGGGGAGCAAACAGGAUUAGAUACCCGCGUAGUC
rnacentral:rRNA from 1 species